UACAGAGGGUGCAAGCGUUAAUCGGAUUUACUGGGCGUAAAGCGCGCGUAGGUGACCAAUUAAGUCAAAUGUGAAAUCCCCGAGCUUAACUUGGGAAUUGCAUUCGAUACUGGUUGGCUAGAGUAUGGGAGAGGAUGGUAGAAUUCCAGGUGUAGCGGUGAAAUGCGUAGAGAUCUGGAGGAAUACCGAUGGCGAAGGCAGCCAUCUGGCCUAAUACUGACACUGAGGUGCGAAAGCAUGGGGAGCAAACAGG
rnacentral:rRNA from 1 species